rnacentral:rRNA from 1 species
CUUUGGUACUCGAGUGGCGAACGGGUGAGUAACACGUGGGUGAUCUGCCCUGCACUUUGGGAUAAGCCUGGGAAACUGGGUCUAAUACCGGAUAGGACCACGGUGUGGUGAUCGUGGUGGAAAGUUUUUUCGGUGUGGGAUGAGCUCGCGGCCUAUCAGCUUGUUGGUGGGGUAAUGGCCUACCAAGGCGUCGACGGGUAGCCGGCCUGAGAGGGUGUACGGCCACAUUGGGACUGAGAUACGGCCCAG